AAGUUGUGAAUUGUUUAAUGUUUCCAUGACAUUAAAGUUGAAAUUUCAGGUAAGUUUUCACUGUCAUCUUUCUGUUGUUUGUAUCACAUUUCAAGAAAAUGCAACCAUUAAUUUAGUAAUUUGAAGAAAAGUGACAAGAAAACACGUUGAAGUUGCAAAAUCAGAAUAACAACCAGGCCAAAUUAUACCGAAGGAUUGAUUUCACAUUCUCCAAUUUCCAAGCCUUCAAGUAUAAUUCCACAUUCUUUCAGAACCUUCAAAUUUAGGUUGAUUUUUGUUGAAAAAAAUUCAAUUCUCAAGUUUAUGUAUUGAUAAGGAACAGUGACUGAUUUUGGCGAAGUGUUUGUAUUGAGCAGUUGUACUUGGAUUGGAUAAAAGUUGCGAUUGUAAUAUCGGAACACAAAACUUAGAGAACACAUCACCUCUAAAUUAAGUUCUUGCAGUAAAUCGGAUAUUUAUCUGAAUUGAAUAUUAUUUAGGAUUUUUCAUAGGAUAGUUGGAAGCAAUAACUUAACAUCAUUAUUGUUAUCAUGCUCCUAAUAAUGAAAACAAUGGAAUUGAAAGGAUGAUCAUAUAAGUAUAAGAUGAACGAUGACCCUUAAGAUGUGAUCUUAGGUUACAACACAUUAUAUAAUGGAUAAAGUAGACUAUAUGCUUAUAUAAUAUCAUGAGAUAAGACUAAACUCUAUUUUAAAGUCCCUAUAAUGUCAAGCUUUUCCAUCUGAAUGUAAAUUUUUUUAAUGGAGGUAUAAUGAGUGAUUGUUUUAGGACCAUCAAAUUGGAUGCAAGUAGAAUUAUUUUUGUAGUCUAUUUCAGUAAAUUUAGAAUACAUUUUAAUUGCAUUACGUAAUCCUUGAAAUCUUUAAACUCAACUGUGACAUUCUUGCAAGGCUUUGGGCAUAGCUAUAUAUUUUCGAAUCUUUAAAGAUGAAAAUAGAGGGUCUAUGCGGUUGCAUACAACUUUGCUUGAGUAAGGCAUAGGGCAGAAUGAGCUGUAUUAUUUUCAGUAAGGUAAGAGAUGGACUCCUACUAGGAGGCAAAGUAUGCCUUAUAUUAUCUGGAGCAAACACCCUUUCAUCUCAUGUAGAAGCAUUUAUGCGAGUUGUAGCAUGUACUCAUAUUCUUCAAGGAUAUGGUCAUACUGAAACAUGUGUUGGUACAUUUGUGUCGCUACCCAACCAGUUUCAUAUACUCGGUACGGUUGGUCCUCCGGUGCCCAAUAUGAAUGUGUGCUUGGUGUAGCUGCGCUGUUCCUGAAAUGGAAUAUGAUGCUGUUUCAAGCACACCUAUGCGUGAGGGGAGACACUCUGUUUUGUUACUACAAGCGUGAAAGAAGUCACGAUUAAUGGAUGGUUGGUUCCAUACAGAGGAUAUUGGUGAGAGGCAACCAAAUGGUAGCUUGAAGAUAAUUGAUCGCAGGAAGAAUAUUUUGAAGCUAUAGCAAGGAGAAUAUGUUGCAGUCAAAAAUUUGGAGAAUGUAUUCCUGUUAUUGAUUCGGUAUGGAUAUAUGGGAGCAACUUUGAGUCUGCGGUUGUUAAUCCAAGUAAACAACAGGUUGAAAAAUGGGCCAAACAGAAUGGUCUUUCUGGGGAUUUUAAUUCCAAUUAAAAGGUGAAAGAGCACAUACUAGGGGAGCUUACUAAAGCUGGAAAAGAAAAGAAGUUGAAAGGGAUUUAAGUUCAUAAAGGCUCUACACCUUUAUCCAGUUCCAUUUAACAUGGAACGUGACACUAACAUUUAACAAGAAAAGAACACAAUUGUUUAAAUACUACAAGGAUGUGAUUGACACCAUGUACAAGGAUGCUAAAUGAACUUGCAAGGCUUGAAAUUAGCACCUUUUCUUUUUAACUACACCUCCCUCUUUUUUUGUUUUAGUACUGUACAUAUCACUCAAAUAAUAUGAGAUUGUUAUUAAUUAAAUUAUCUUUCUAUUUUUACUUGAAUUUAUCUAUUUACAAUCUAAUUAAAUAUUAUUUUUUUCUUAGGUAUGAGCGUAUUGAACUUUCAAAGGUAUAUUUCUUUGAACCUUUUUUAAUGUUUUAUUUUAUAAUUUUUACUUAACCAUCAUUUAUUUUAUAUAUAUAGAAAAAGAAUGUGAACGUCACUAAGGGUUUUGAUCCUCAAGUGCCAAAAAGUUCAAAAAGUCAUAAACCAAGGGUAUGUGAUGAUAAAUUAUUAUUAUUAUUAUUAUUAUUAUUAUUAUUAUUAUUAUUAUUAUUAUUAUUAUUAUUAUUAUUAUUAUUAUUAUUAUUAUUAUUAUUAUUAUUAUUAUUAUUAUUAUUAUUAUUAUUAUUAUUAUUAUUAUUAUUAUUAUUAUUAUUAUUAUUAUUAUUAUUAUUAUUAUUAUUAUUAUUAUUAUUAUUAUUAUUAUUAUUAUUAUUAUUAUUAUUAUUAUUAUUAUUAUUAUUAUUAUUAUUAUUAUUAUUAUUAUUAUUAUUAUUAUUAUUAUUAUUAUUAUUAUUAUUAUUAUUAUUAUUAUUAUUAUUAUUAUUAUUAUUAUUAUUAUUAUUAUUAUUAUUAUUAUUAUUAUUAUUAUUAUUAUUAUUAUUAUUAUUAUUAUUAUUAUUAUUAUUAUUAUUAUUAUUAUUAUUAUUAUUAUUAUUAUUAUUAUUAUUAUUAUUAUUAUUAUUAUUAUUAUUAUUAUUAUUAUUAUUAUUAUUAUUAUUAUUAUUAUUAUUAUUAUUAUUAUUAUUAUUAUUAUUAUUAUUAUUAUUAUUAUUAUUAUUAUUAUUAUUAUUAUUAUUAUUAUUAUUAUUAUUAUUAUUAUUAUUAUUAUUAUUAUUAUUAUUAUUAUUAUUAUUAUUAUUAUUAUUAUUAUUAUUAUUAUUAUUAUUAUUAUUAUUAUUAUUAUUAUUAUUAUUAUUAUUAUUAUUAUUAUUAUUAUUAUUAUUAUUAUUAUUAUUAUUAUUAUUAUUAUUAUUAUUAUUAUUAUUAUUAUUAUUAUUAUUAUUAUUAUUAUUAUUAUUAUUAUUAUUAUUAUUAUUAUUAUUAUUAUUAUUAUUAUUAUUAUUAUUAUUAUUAUUAUUAUUAUUAUUAUUAUUAUUAUUAUUAUUAUUAUUAUUAUUAUUAUUAUUAUUAUUAUUAUUAUUAUUAUUAUUGUUGUUGUUGUUGUUGUUGUUGUUGUUGUUAUUACUACGUAAAUAAAUGCAGGCUCGCUAUCCAUAUGGUAGAAUGCCAAUAAUGCAUUCUUGUUCUAAUGUAAGUGUAUAUUUUAUCCCUAAUUUAUUUUUUGUAUUUUAAAUGGGCUUAUAUUUAAAUAAAAUUAAUUUUCAAUAGAUUUGUAUAUAGUGUUUCUAAACUGAUACAAUUGUAUAUUAUUUUUAAUUUAAAUGAUAUUACUAUAGAGAGGAGUUGUUGAGCAAGAAAAUGGACAUGGAAAGAGGGAGCAUCCAUGGCUGACCAG
rnacentral:lncRNA from 1 species